GGGGAAUAUUGGUCAAUGGGCGCAAGCCUGAACCAGCCAUGCCGCGUGCAGGAUGACUGCCCUAUGGGUUGUAAACUGCUUUUGUACAGGAAGAAUCUUCCUGACGUGUCAGGAAUUGACGGUACUGUACGAAUAAGCAUCGGCUAACUCCGUGCCAGCAGCCGCGGUAAUACGGAGGAUGCAGGCGUUAUCCGGAUUUAUUAGGUUUAAAGGGUGUUCAGGCUGUCUGGUAAGUCAGAGGUGAAAGUCGGUUGCUUAACGAUCGAAUUGCCUUUGAAACUGUCAGACUUGAGUAUGGAUGCGGUAGGCGGAAUGUGUAGUGUAGCGGUGAAAUGCAUGGAUAUUACACAGAACACCGAUUGCGAAAGCAGCUUACCAAACCAGCACUGACGCUGAAGCACGAAAGCGUGGGUAGCGAACAGGAUUAGAUACCCUGGUAGUCCACGCAGUAAACGAUGCUCACUCGCUGUUGGCAAUAGAUCGUCAGCGGCUAAGGGAAACCGAUAAGUGAGCCACCUGGGGAGUACGAUCGCAAGAUUG
rnacentral:rRNA from 1 species